rnacentral:rRNA from 1 species
GGAUACGCUACGGCGUGCUCACACAUUUCAAGUCGAACGGAAAAGAGUACAUCUUUUCAGUGGCGGACGGGUGAGUAUGACGAAUUUGCCCUUAUGGCAGAGGACUACAAUUAGAACACUAAUUGCUAAAACUCUAUAUGUUGGAAACAAUGAAAAAAGAAAUAUGCCUAAGGAGAAGCUCACAUUUGAUUGGCUAGUUGGUAGGGUAAGAGCCUACCAAGGACGACGAUCAAUAGUUGGUCUGAGAGGACGAUCAGCCACACUGGAACUGAGACACGGUCCAGACUCCUACGGGAGGCAGCAGUGAGGAAUAUUCCGCAAUGGGCGAAAGCCUGACGGAGCAACGCCGAGUGAGGGAUGAAGGCCUACGGGUUGUAAACCUCAUUUAACCAACGGAGGAAGAUCUGACACGUUACUUGGAGAAUAAGCAUCAGGCAUAACCCAGUGACAACAGCAACAGAUAAUAAAAGGGAUGCAAAGUGUCAUCCGGAU